GAGGAAUAUUUUAUGGAGAAAACCUUCUAACAAAGAUUCUCCAUCAAAUAUUCAUUCACCAAUUUUGAUGUCAGCUGGCGAUAACACACACACAGAAGUAUUCAAGAAUUUUACUGUGUUUGCUGAUGUACUGCUGCACCGUUUAGUCUUUUUGUGGAUAAGUCUGAUCUGUAACGCACGGAGGAUCAGUGCAUGAUGCUGUCAGUGUUUAACCUACAGAACAUUUCUGCUGUUUCAGUCCUGUUGAAUUUCCUAGAGACGUCCACACGUGUGCAGGUAUUUUUGAAAAGGAGGAUUUCCAUCAUUUGGUUUAAAAAAAUCCAGUCCAUACAAGCAUCAUUAAAAAAAAAU